rnacentral:rRNA from 1 species
UACGUAGGGGGCAAGCGUUGUCCGGAAUCAUUGGGCGUAAAGCGCGUGUAGGCGGUUGUCCAAGUCGGGUGUGAAAGCCUUGAGCUCAACUCAAGAAAUGCACUCGAUACUGGGCGACUAGAGUGCCGGAGAGGAUAGUGGAAUUCCCAGUGUAGUGGUGAAAUACGUAGAGAUUGGGAAGAACACCAGUGGCGAAGGCGGCUAUCUGGACGGUUACUGACGCUAAGACGCGAAAGCGUGGGGAGCAAACAGG